CCAAUUGAAAUUCUAAUCUAUUAAGCAUGUACUCUUCAGGUUACAUUAAAAUUAAAAUAAAAUAACCAAACAAUAUACGAGCUUCAUAUAUAGUAAUGCAUCAUAUCCAAAUAAUAGUAAUGCAUCAUCUGAACGGGAACUUUUGUAAGAUGCGUUUAAUCAGUUGCAUGUGUAUAUUGUAUGAUCAGUUGGACAGCAUAUGAAAAUUAAUAAAAUAAAACAAAUUUAUGAAUAUUGUUACUAUAAGUUCCUUUCGAAAGGUACGUAGCAUGCUGAUCCUAUCUGUUAACUGGAUUACAAAAUUUAGCAAAGGCUACCAAAUAAUAUUGUGUAUCAACAAUCAACUCCAGAUCCUGUAAAACAUAAUACGUCUAACUCAUUUAUGUGCUUAGUACAAGAUUAAUCAAAUGGGGAAGCCGAAACCACCUAUAUGUUAAUUAAUUGCUCAAUUUGCAAUCAAGCUAUGGCUAAUAUAUGUACGUCCUCACCACUUUGAGUCCAUACACAAGUACUUUUCACCUACAUAUCCAGUUAAUUCCAACUUUCUUAAUACAUACAUAUAUACAUACAUACAUACAUGUACACACAUAUAUACGUGUACACACAUAUGCAAUUAGAUUCUUAUCAAGUCAACCAAAUAAUAUUAUUAUAAAAAUAUAUGAAAUCAAUCAUUUAAAUUUAAUUUUAAAAAAAUAUUUCAAAUAGUUUUAAACAAAUCAUUGUGAUAAAAAUUCUCAUAUAAUAUUAGCCAGACAACAUGAUAAACGAUAAUUUAUAUAUAUAUAUAAGUGUGCAAUCACUAUCUAGCUAAUUUCACAUUUUAAAAUCUGUAUCUAUAAAUUACUCUAUAAUUAUAAGGCUAGCCUUUCUUGAUAUGUAAUAAGAAUGUCCUCCAGUUUGACCACGAUGUAUUUGUUAUUAAUAAACUGAAGGAAGUUACUGAUCCAAUUCCUUCCACAGCUCCUUCCCUCCUACCUAAUUAAAAUAGUUCAACGGGAUUUAUUCUAUGUAUCAAAUUUGAAGACUCAAAUACAUAAACACACACGCACACAUACAUGCAUUUCAAUUUUAUCUAAAAAUCAUAGUUCCAUAUAAAAAUGCCUUUCAGAAACUUUUUUAUUGCUUGAUUAAUUUUAUCAAAGAAAGGUUGUUGCAAUUUAAGUCUUUCUAUAUUCUUUUUUUGCGAUAGUUAAAUACUGUUUUGAUGCUUUAAAGUACCAAUGAAUCAUUAACAUAAUGGUUAUGUUAUCUAGCUUCAUUAACUUGUUUUGAGCAAUGACAUAGCAAGAUAUAAGAACUGAAGUGAAAUUAUUUUUUUUUUCAAUCGAAACUAUAUAUCUUAGCAUUCCUAAAAGCUUUGGCUAGCAAAAUUGUAUAAGUUAAAAAGAUAUAUAUACAGAUAUAUGAAUUACCAAGAUUGUCAUUAUAGAAAAUCAUCCGAGUCUCUCUUAUAACUCCUUAAAUUAUUUUAAAAGUUGAAAUUUAAAAAUGUAUUUGAAAUUUAUAUAAAUCCAUCUAAUAUUUAUUUUAUCCUCCGAAAGCUAUAAUAUUUCAUUUUACAAAUAUAGUUCAAUAUUAUAUUUAUUUUGAAGCAAUACAAAGGCUAAUAUCAAUAUAUUGAAAGAAAAAAUGACUAUUUAUAUAUAUAUAUAUAUUCAAUAUUAUUAGAGGUAUCCAACAUUCUAGGUUUAUUUAUGCAAAUUUAUUAUUCAUUUCACUAUCUUCAAAAAUUUUGAUUACCGUACAGGAUUAAUAGAUAGAUAUAUAUAUAUACUUUUGUUAUAAAGCAUUAAUCAAUACUUGAGAUGUCAAUCAUUAACUAUUAGAAAUUAAAAACAAGUAUUUGUAAGUGUGUCCUGCAUAAAUUAGAUGGUUAGAUAUAAGCCACCUUGGGUACUUAUGUGACAAAAGGAAUAUUUCAAACAGUUAUGACAAUCAUCAGAGUUCUCAAAUAGCCAAUUAUCCCAAAUACUCUUGGCAGCCACAUAUCAAAGUUGAUGAGAAAAUACUUAAGCUAAAAUUUAUCAUAGAAUAGAAGAGAAAUAGAAAACAAUUUUACAAAAAGAAAAAGGUAGGCAUCUAAAUUUUAGAAAGAGGGAAUCUUUGCUCUUAAUUAUAUGUUUUAGACCGGAUACAGGUUUAUUUAAUUAAGUAAAGGAGAAGGAUAUCCUAUCAUGUAGUCCAACAUUUGAGAAAGAGCACAAAAUUUUCAUUCCAAAAAUGUACUCGAUCAUUUUUUUAAAGAGUAAUUGAUUGAAAAGAAAUCAUGAUUAAAGAUAGACCUGAACGAAAAAGAUGAAAUCUUUUCAAAAGCAAACAUAUGAACAGUUACGCUAUGUUAUGCUGAGAUGAGAUGCAUGUAAAAAGACAAACUACCAUAGUCAAAUAAAAACAAGCAAUGAUACCUUUUUUAAAAAGAUAAAUAAACAUAGGCUUUAUUCAACAUUUAAGAUUUCACAAAAGCAAAGUUAUUAAUUACUACAAGUACAUAGGCAUCAACUAAACAGUCAUCUUGAAGCGAAGCCAUAGAGAAAGAUAAGUACUGGUUUUAACUUUCAAUUAGUUGAGGUCGUAAGUUGUACCCAUAUAUAUGGCGCAAACUUUGAUUGCUAUAUCAAUGUUACAUGCAAGGAAAAUUCAUAAGGUGGAAGUAUAAAAUACGAAAAAAUAUUGAAUAUAUAUUUUCACCAUGAUACUAAUAAUUACAUUUGUUUAACCUAUGCCGGUAUAAGUUUUAGUUGAUUUUGAAUAGUUGAAGUUUGUUGUAAGAUCACAUUGUAUGUAUGUCAAAAUUAACAAUCCUAAUCGGCAUUGAAAUAUUAAUGACCAAAACUAAUAAAUUAAAUCCAUGAUGAAUGGAUUUCGAAGAUGUUGGUAUAUAAAGUUAAUUUCUGCACUUAUAAAUUAUAAAACUAAUAAAUAAUGUAAUUAUCUCAUUGUGAUAGUUAUAAAUAGAAAGUAGAUACGUUUUUCUGCUAUUACAAUUUUUUUUAUUUUUUUUAUUUUUUUUUUUGGAAAACGAGAUUUGGUUUAUGCAAAGGAAGGUAUAUAUUUGACAUUAAAGAUUGUUUACUAGCGACUACGAGUGAUAUUUUUAAUAAACAAAAAAAAGUAAAAAAUAAAAAAUAAAAUGAACAGAAGUAAAUAAGGGGAAAACUAGCUCCUUGUUUGUUACUGGGGAGGAUUAUAAUUUGCCUAGUAUAUAUAUUAUACAUUUUAGGACAUUGCAGUGCUUUGAAAUAUGUUUUAUAAUAAGCAUUGUGAUGUUUUUCCUGAAGUGAAAAAAAAUACAAUAAGUAGUAAUGAGUAAUGAGAGAUAGAAAAGAGACCUUGUACUUUGUUGUAGUUGUAGCUAGAAAUGGAAGUUAAAAAGCGAGAGGCUUAAUUAAUUAAGGAAAGGGUAUUAGGGCAUUAGUUUUUGCAGAAGAAAUUAUUAAUUAAUGUGCAGUGAAAUCAAAUGAGGAAAAAGUGUGGUAGGAGGAAAAAAGAGUGAGUUGAAAUUCAAUAUUACUAGUGCAGCAAAAGAGAAGCUGCAUGGAAAUAAUUAAAAAUAAUAUAGUAUAUAUUUAUAUGUAAUAUAUACGUAUAAAUUUUAAAAAGAAAUUAAAGAAAAAGAAGAAAAAUUGAGGAGAUAUAAAUAGACAAUGAAGAUAAAAAUCCUACCUCUUUAUGCUACUGCAACUUCGUCUGCAAAACCUGCGGGUGUGUGCGCAACGAAGCAGCGACAAGAACAACAACCUACCAAGGCAAAAGAAUUUUAAUGAAAAUCUGAGAGCGAAAGAGCGUUCGAUGGAAAAGAAGCAGAAAAGGUAGCUCUCAAUACAAUGAGGGUCGGUGCGUUGUUGUUUGACCAAGAAGAAGACCACUGAGACGGAAAACCACAUAAUACCCCAUGGAAGUUUCAAAAAGAGUGCAAAGUUUGUUGUUGUUGUUCUUCUUCUUCUUCUUCUUGUUGACCUUAAUGUUUUGGGGAGAGAAGAGGGUUUUUGAGCGAGAGAGAAAGAUUACGCCAGGGAUAGGAUUGGCUAUAUAUGUAUAUAUAUAUCUAUUAGCUGUUGUUACUGUGUGAUUUCUAUCUUUAGUCUUCACAAAUUGCAACCACCAGCAACCCCCAGUGGUGCCUCCUCCCUGGAAGCUUCUCAAGUUAGGCCGUUUUUCUCUGAUCUUACUUUUUUA